GCGAAUUCGUUUCGUCCGCCGCCUCAACAGUAACAAUAAUAAAAUAAUAAUAAAAAGAAAAGAAGAAGAAGAGAGAGAAAAUAAUUUUUAAAAAAAAAUGUGGGACCCACUGAAUUUUUAUAAAAACUCACCUUCCUUCAUUUCCUCAUUCAUUCCUGCGCGCGAGCUGAGGCGGAGAGAAGCGAGUUGCCGGUGCGAAAUAUCUAAAUUUUUAAGAUUGUAUUACUGGUGAAGAUUGUGGUGAGAGAGAAAUUUUAAGGAAUAAUUUAUUGAAAAAGCCACAAGGAGAAGAGCCACGAGUGACACGUGGAGGAGUCCCAGAGGCUUAGUGGUAUAGAUCCACUGUCUCUUUUGGGUAUUUAAUUUAUGAUUUAUAAUGUGUUAUAUUGCCAAUAUUAGGGCUUUUUGUUUAUUGUCAAUUAUAUGAAUAUAUAAAUGUAAUCAUGUCUUUCAAACUAUUUCUAUUUUUGGUACAAUUUGGAUGACUGUAAUUUUAAUAUUUGGUUUACUUUGGAUUGGUUAAAAUGGCAUGAUUAUAAGGCCAAAUAACUGGCUUGUGUUGAAAA